rnacentral:rRNA from 1 species
UACGUAGGGGGCAAGCGUUGCCGGAUUUAUUGGGCGUAAAGAGCUCGUAGGCGGUUUGUCGCGUCUGCCGUGAAAGUCCGGGGCUCAACUCCGGAUCUGCGGUGGGUACGGGCAGGCUAGAGGUAGGUAGGGGAGAAUGGAAUUCCCGGUGUAGCGGUGAAAUGCGCAGAUAUCGGGAGGAACGACCGGUGGCGAAGGCGGUUCUCUGGGCCUUACCUGACGCUGAGGAGCGAAAGCGUGGGGAGCGAACAGG